CGUAGGGGGCUAGCGUUGUCCGGAAUCAUUGGGCGUAAAGCGCGUGUAGGCGGUUCGGUAAGUCGGCUGUGAAAGUCCAGGGCUCAACCCUGGGAUGCCGGUCGAUACUGCCGGACUAGAGUUCGGAAGAGGCGAGUGGAAUUCCCGGUGUAGCGGUGAAAUGCGCAGAUAUCGGGAGGAACACCAAUGGCGAAGGCAGCUCGCUGGGACGUUACUGACGCUGAGACGCGAAAGCGUGGGGAGCAAACAGGAUUAGAUACCCUGGUAGUCCACGCCGUAAACGAUGGGCACUAGGUGUGGGAGGUGUCGACUCCUCCCGUGCCGGAGCUAACGCAUUAAGUGCCCCGCCUGGGGAGUACGGCCGCAAGGCUA
rnacentral:rRNA from 1 species